rnacentral:rRNA from 1 species
GACGAACGCUGGCGGCGUGCUUAACACAUGCAAGUCGAACGCGCCUGUCCUCUGGGUUUCUGGGGGGUGGGUGAGUGGCGAACGGGUGAGUAACACGUGAGUAACCUGCCCCCUUCUUCGGGAUAACGGUCUGAAAGGGCUGCUAAUACCGGGUAUUCACUGGUCUCCGCAUGGGGUCUGGUGGAAAGGUUUUUUUCUGGUGGGGGAUGGGCUCGCGGCCUAUCAGCUUGUUGGUGGGGUGAUGGCCCACCAAGGCUUUGACGGGUAGCCGGCCUGAGAGGGUGACCGGUCACAUUGGGACUGAGAUACGGCCCAGACUCCUACGGGAGGCAGCAGUGGGGAAUAUUGCACAAUGGGCGCAAGCCUGAUGCAGCGACGCCGCGUGAGGGAUGGAGGCCGUCGGGUUGUGAACCUCUUUCGCCCGUGGUCAAGCCGCGACGUGGGUCGUGGUGAGGGUAGUGGGUAAAGAAGCGCCGGCCAACUACGUG